rnacentral:lncRNA from 1 species
UACAGACGUUUGACUCGCCAGUGCGAGUAAUUUUGUAUCUGGGUUUUGGUGUAUGUAUAUGGAACUCGAUUUGUUUCUGUUACUGGUUCUUCUAGCAGCUCUAUACUACUGUUUGUAGUAUUGUAUAUUUUACAGGUACAGCUAUCGCUUCGUAUACAGGGAAAAUUUUUUUUGUAUACGGCGGAUUUGUCAGCGUGCCCGGGGAACGUGUAAUCUGGGUCAUGA